rnacentral:rRNA from 1 species
GGGGCCCCUCUCGGGUUACCGAAUUCAGACAAACUCCGAAUGCCAAUUAAUUUAACUUGGGAGUCAGAACAUGGGUGAUAAGGUCCGUGUUCGAAAGGGAAACAGCCCAGACCACCAGCUAAGGUCCCAAAAUAUAUGUUAAGUGGAAAAGGAUGUGGCGUUGCCCAGACAACUAGGAUGUUGGCUUAGAAGCAGCCAUCAUUUAAAGAGUGCGUAAUAGCUCACUAGUCGAGUGACACUGCGCCGAAAAUGUACCGGGGCUAAACAUAUUACCGAAGCUGUGGAUUGUCCUUUGGACAAUGGUAGGAGAGCGUUCUAAGGGCGUUGAAGCAUGAUCGUAAGGACAUGUGGAGCGCUUAGAAGUGAGAAUGCCGGUGUGAGUAGCGAAAGAUGGGUGAGAAUCCCGUCCACCGAU